rnacentral:rRNA from 1 species
CGGACGGGUGAGUAAUGUCUGGGAAACUGCCCGAUGGAGGGGGAUAACUACUGGAAACGGUAGCUAAUACCGCAUAACGUCGCAAGACCAAAGAGGGGGACCUUAGGGCCUCUUGCCAUCGGAUGUGCCCAGAUGGGAUUAGCUAGUAGGUGGGGUAACGGCUCACCUAGGCGACGAUCCCUAGCUGGUCUGAGAGGAUGAUCAGCCUCACUGGGACUGAGACACGGUCCAG